rnacentral:rRNA from 1 species
AGAGUUUGAUCAUGGCUCAGAACGAACGCUGGCGGCAGGCCUAACACAUGCAAGUCGAGCGCCCCUUCGGGGGAGCGGCGGACGGGUGAGUAACACGUGGGAACGUGCCCUUCGGUUCGGGAUAACUGCGGGAAACUGCAGCUAACACCGGAUACGCCCUUCGGGGGAAAGGUUACGCCGAAGGAUCGGCCCGCGUCUGAUUAGCUUGUUGGUGGGGUAAUGGCCCACCAAGGCUACGAUCAGUAGCUGGUCUGAGAGGAUGAUCAGCCACACUGGGACUGAGACACGGCCCAGACUCCUACGGGAGGCAGCAGUGGGGAAUCUUGCGCAAUGGGCGAAAGCCUGACGCAGCCAUGCCGCGUGAAUGAUGAAGGUCUUAGGAUUGUAAAAUUCUUUCAGCGGGGACGAUAAUGACGGUACCCGCAGAAGAAGCCCCGGCUAACUUCGUGCCAGCAGCCGCGGUAAUACGAAGGGGGCUAGCGUUGCUCGGAUUUACUGGGCGUAAAGGGCGCGUAGGCGGACGACCAAGUUGGGGGUGAAAGCCCGGGGCUCAACCUCGGAAUUGCCUUCAAAACUGGUCGUCUUGAGUACGGGAGAGGUGUGUGGAACUCCGAGUGUAGAGGUGAAAUUCGUAGAUAUUCGGAAGAACACCAGUGGCGAAGGCGACACACUGGCCCGUUACUGACGCUGAGGCGCGAAAGCGUGGGGAGCAAACAGGAUUAGAUACCCUAGUAGUCC